GGAGAGAUGGCCGAGUGGAUAAAGGCGCUCGACUCGAAAUCGAGUAGGCGGCUAAAGGGUCGCCUCGUGGGUUCGAAUCCCACUCUCUCCGCCA
rnacentral:tRNA from 1 species